AGGGCAGAGCAUGAAUGCAGUUCCCUACUACCACAACUCUCUGGGGGCUGCAUUCCAAGAGUGUAGUGGAUGAACUCCUUUGUGAGCCAGGGGACUUCCAGGAGGUGUGACCAUGGAAUAACUGAGAUUGAAUCACCUCUCCUCCCAAAACAACAAAUACAAGAGAACUGAAGUCAUAAUCUACAGCUGAAAAAUCUGCAGCCUCAGCAUCCCUUGAUGAAAGCUGAAGGCUGUAUCGUGACAACAUAACACAGCAAACAUGCUUGGGAGGCCAAGAGAAUACUAUCCAAGUGCACUGGGGGGUCCUGUUCAAUAUGAGGAUGGAAUGUGUGUAAUAAGAACUGGAUGU